UCUUAAUUUAACAUUUAUCCACAGCAACUUGUACUGGACAGACUGGAAUAGAGAAGCUCCUAAGAUUGAAACAUCAUCUUUAGAUGGAGAAAACAGAAAAAUUCUGAUCAACAAAGAUAUUGGGUUACCCAAUGGGUUAACCUUUGACCCCUUCUCCAAACUGCUGUGCUGGGCAGAUGCAGGAACCAAGAAACUGGAGUGUACGCUGCCCGACGGAACCGGACGCCGUGUCAUCCAGAGUCACCUCAAUUACCCCUUCAGCGUCGUGAGCUACGCAGAUCACUUCUACCAUACAGACUGGCGGAGGGACGGUGUUAUCUCGGUGAAUAAAGACAGUGGCCAGUUUACGGAUGAGUACCUCCCCGAGCAGCGGUCUCACCUCUACGGGAUCACCGCAGUCUACCCCUACUGUCCAACAGGAAGAAAAUGAACAUAAAAUGUAUAGGAAGAUUUCAAGUUUACAAGAAUCUUGACCUAAGAACAUUUACUACAAAGGCAGUGAAAGAGGAAUUGGCCGCCAUGAGCUCUGGGCACACAAGAUGAGCAUUCCCAGUGCAGCGAGACUAAGUCUAGUUUGUGAAGUGUAUACCUCAAUCAUUACUACUGUAUUUUUAAAAACAAAGGUUAUCAGAAGUUUAAAAUAGAAUUUUAAUCAUUACUUAUUGAAGCAACUUUUUGUAAACACUUAUUUAAAAGACCAAAUUCAUUCAACAAAGAACCAAAUAAGAGUUUAAGACACUAAAUCUGGUUUUUGCCAUGGAGUCUACCUGAUCAAGAAAAGUAAAACACAUGGCUGGUUAUGAAAAUGUAUUCCUAAAGCCCACUGAGAAGAUGAUGUAACAGAGAAGAUGAUGCUGGUCAUGGGGAUGAUCCAGCCUAUUUAUACUUCCCAGCAAAAGUCAGUCCUCAGACUUUAUUUAUAUUUAAGGUGCUAGAAUGAUCCCCUAAGUGCCUCUACAGAAGCAUCCCUCAGAAGUAUUCCAUGUAAAAUACCAAAGAUGUAGCAGUUCUUAAAUUUUCUAUGUAACUCCAAUAAAAUAUUUUACAGCUUU